UACGGAGGGGGCUAGCGUUGUUCGGAAUUACUGGGCGUAAAGCGCGCGUAGGCGGACCUGCAAGUCGGGGGUGAAAGCCCGAGGCUCAACCUCGGAACUGCCUUCGAUACUGCGGGUCUCGAGUCCGGGAGAGGUGAGUGGAAUUCCUAGUGUAGAGGUGAAAUUCGUAGAUAUUAGGAAGAACACCAGUGGCGAAGGCGGCAUCCUGGACCGACAUUGACGCUGAUGAGCGAAAGCUAGGGGAGCAAACGGG
rnacentral:rRNA from 1 species